CAGACUAUAGAACUUUCAGGGGCUUCCACAGAACAAUGGCCUAUCUGACUGAAGUUUAGGACUAGCUCUUGUUUAGGCUGGAUGAUAUGAGAGUAAGGACGGAGGGGAGAUGUGAGGAGAAAAUUGCAGAUUGUAAACACAGGACGCUUCAGGUUUUUUGCUCUAAGGAGAGAAGUCGUGGUGGCUGAUAGGUGGCGGUGUGCAUAGCGCAGGGCCAAGAAGGUGUUAGUUCUCAAGUGUGAGAAACGAGGUGAGCAAACAGCAAACCGCCUUUGGAAGCCGACAAGAAACAACGGAGGAGUUGCAGGUCCCAGGUGCCAGAACAGUAAUAGGAUUCUACACAGAAUGAGGACAACCUGUCAACUGGUGACUUAGACAUCCGCCGAGUGAGGCCUGGAGAGCCCUUCUUGUUCUUUACAAGGUAUUUGUACUUUGGAUUCUGCUUAAUCCAGUUCUUCAGAGCUUCACAGGCAUCCUGUUGAUGGCCAGUGUUGGUGUAACUCACGGCCAAGGCCAUCAGAGCUUUCAAGUUGUUGGGCUGCAACUCCAGGCACCUUGAGAGAAGAAAAAACAGAUCAAUUAUGCAGCCUUUAUUAAUUAAAAAUCAUUAAUUAAAAUUGUAAAAGUUAAA